rnacentral:lncRNA from 1 species
GAAAGUACAUUUCAGGGUCACCAUACAACAACUGUUCAAAAAGGCCUCCAAUAUGGGACAGUCCUAUUUAUUAUCUCAGAAAUAUUCCUCUUCGCUGGAUUCUUUUGAGCAUUCUACCAUUCUAGCCUAGCCCCUACUCCAGAAUUAGGAGGGCAUUGACCCCCAACAGGUAUUUCUCCCCUUGACCCCCUGGAAGUACCUCUCCUGAAUCCAUCUGUAUUACUUGCAUCAGGAAUUUCAAUUACUUGAGCCCAUCACAGCCUAACAAAAAAUAAUCAAAAACAUACAAUCCAAGCACUACUUGUUACAAUUAUAUUAGAUAUUUACUUCACCUUCCUACAAGUCUCAGAAUACUUCAAAGCUCCCUUUGUUAUUUCUGAUGGUAUUUAUGGCUCAACAUUUUU